AGCGAACGUUAGCGGCGGGCUUAACACAUGCAAGUCGUACGCGAAAGGGCUUCGGCCCCGGUAGCGUGGCGUCCGGGUGAGUAACACGUAGGGAAUCUACCCUCGGGUGGGGGAUAACGUUCCGAAAGGGACGCUAAUACCGCAUAAGACCUCGUCGGCUCCGGCCGAUGCGGUCAAAGAUGGCCUCUGUACACAUGCUA
rnacentral:rRNA from 1 species